GGCUUGAUAGCUUAGUUGGUAUAGCACUCGUCUAGUAUACAAAAGUCAUGGGUUCAAAUCCCAGCUGAGCGC
rnacentral:tRNA from 1 species